UUGAAGGCUUAGAACAUACAGUAUGUGAAUAGGAAGUACAUUGGGAGUCGUCAGGGGCAGCACCUUCAGUUAUCAUUUUUUCCGAUACUGCAGUCAAAAUGAUCCUGCAACAUUUUACACAGCUCACCUCGAGGACAUGCACCAGAGCCUCACUCGCAUCUCGUACCCUCUUUGGAGGAGCAGACGUGGAGGGGAACAGUGAUGGCAGCACACGUACACCUUAAAAAAUGCUGGGUUAUUUCAUCUACCCAACCGCUGGGUUAUGAAAUGUUUUACCCAUUAUGGGUUAUUUAUAUGGAAGUUGGGUUAUUUUGUGCAACUCAUGUGUUGAGUCAAAAUCCAUCAACCCAACAUACAUCGGUUGACCCAGCACUUGGGUUGUUUGUGCUUCGAACGUCAUCAGAUCAUCACCAGAGUCCACACACCGAGCGCUUGUCACAGCAGAGAACCAGUCUGGUCAUCCAACGAGGCAAAUACAUAAUAAAAGAUCAAUGGAUAGCUUUGUCAUUAACACUUUGACAGAGUGCCAGACCUUGUCGAAAGAUUUAAAAGCUUCCACGUAAUAUGUCAAAGUGACUCAAAUAGAUGAAUAGAGCCGGCCACUGGAUUCCUGGAGGAAAGGCUGCGGAACGUCAGGAAGCGGCUGAGAUCAACCAGCAGGUUGCAGAGCACGGCACAGACACCACCACAAACGCCAGAUGAUGGCGCUCUUGCAAGGGCUCUCAUACCAGAAUGUACCAUAUCAGACGAACGUGGGUCACAGCUUAAAGAAUGGUUGAGAAAUAAUUCUCAGCCCCUCAGCCAGAUAGAGAACUACAUGCCGAACACAGCAGUCUACAGGGCCAAGUGGAUUAGGGACAACAAUUGGACCAUCGAUCAGAUCCUCGAAGAGUUCCCUCACCUAAUGACCAAAGGCAUGAUUCCACAGGCUUGUCCUGCAUGGGGAUGCUGCAUCAAAGUUGUUUGAAACUUGGUCACGUGAAAUGCCAGGAGGGGAGUCUAAAAUGGUAAAGUUUAUUCAAAGUAGAAUACUUGCUUGCAAGUAGAGCUAAUGGCUCUUAAUAGCAGCUUUUUAAUAGGAAUUUGAAUUUGUUCACUAUAGACCUGUUGAAUGUUCAGCCAGUUCAUUCGUAAUUGUUGUUUUGCUCUGAA